rnacentral:rRNA from 1 species
UACAGAGGGCCCAAGCGUUGUUCGGAUUCACUGGGCGUAAAGGGUGCGUAGGCGGCCGGGUAAGUCUGACGUGAAAUCUUCAAGCUCAACUUGGAAACUGCGUCGGAUACUAUUCGGCUAGAGGAAUGGAGGGGAGACUGGAAUACUUGGUGUAGCAGUGAAAUGCGUAGAUAUCAAGUGGAACACCAGUGGCGAAGGCGAGUCUCUGGACAUUUCCUGACGCUGAGGCACGAAAGCCAGGGGAGCAAACGGG